ACUGAAGCCCCAGUGAACGGCGGCCGUAACUAUAACGGUCCUAAGGUAGCGAAAUUCCUUGUCGGGUAAGUUCCGACCCGCAUGAAAGGCGUAAUGAUUUGGGCGCUGUCUCAACGAGGGGCCCGGUGAAAUUGAAAUACCUGUGAAGAUGCAGGUUACCCGCGACUGGACAGAAAGACCCCAUGGAGCUUUACUGCAGCUUGAGAUUGAAUCCCGGUGGCAGACGCACAGGAUAGGUGGGAGGCUUUGAGAUAGUGACUUUGGUUGCUAUGGAGCCGACGUUGGGAUACCACCCUUCUGUUGCUGGGAUUCUAACGCGAAGAUUAACAACCUUGCGGACCAUCUCAGGUAGGCGGUUUGACUGGGGCGGUCGCCUCCGAAAGAGUAACGGAGGCGCCCAAAGGUUCCCUCAGGCCGGACAGAAACCGGCCGAAGAGUGCAAAGGCAGAAGGGAGCUUGACUGCGAGACAGACAAGUCGAGCAGAGACGAAAGUCGGGCUUAGUGAUCCGGUGGUACUGCGUGGAAAGGCCAUCGCUCAACGGAUAAAAGCUACCCUGGGGAUAACAGGCUAAUCUCUCCCAAGAGUUCAUAUCGACGGGGAGGUUUGGCACCUCGAUGUCGGCUCAUCACAUCCUGGAGCUGGAGUAGGUUCCAAGGGUUGGGCUGUUCGCCCAUUAAAGUGGUACGCGAGCUGGGUUCAAAACGUCGUGAGACAGUUUGGUUCAUAUCCAUCGCGGGCGCAAGAAGUUUGAGGGAGGCUGCUCCUAGUACGAGAGGACCGGAGUGGACGGAUCAACGGUGUACCAGUUGUCACGCCAGUGGCACGGCUGGAAAGCCGCAUCCGGAAAGGAUAAACGCUGAAAGCAUCUAAGCGUGAAGCCCGUCCCAAGAUGAGACUUCUCAUCAGCAAUGAGUAAGACCCCUUAAAGACGAUGAGGUUGAUAGGCUGUGAGUGGAAGAGCCGCGAGGCUUGGAGCGACGCAGUACUAAUAGGUCGAGGUCUUAACUUA
rnacentral:rRNA from 1 species